UACGUAGGUGGCAAGCGUUGUCCGGAUUUACUGGGCGUAAAGAGCGCGCAGGCGGUCGUUCAAGUCGCGUGUGAAAGCCCCCGGCUCAACUGGGGAGGGUCACGCGAUACUGAUCGACUCGAAGGCAGGAGAGGGAAGUGGAAUUCCCGGUGUAGAGGUGAAAUUCGUAGAUAUUCGGAAGAACACCAGUGGCGAAGGCGGCUCACUGGCUCGGUAUUGACGCUGAGGUGCGAAAGCGUGGGGAGCAAACAGG
rnacentral:rRNA from 1 species